rnacentral:rRNA from 1 species
GACGAACGCUGGCGGCGUGCUUAACACAUGCAAGUCGAACGGUGAAGCGCCUUCCUUUUUGGUGGGUGUGGAUGAGUGGCGAACGGGUGAGUAACACGUGAGUAACCUGCCCCCUUCUUCUGGAUAACCGCAUGAAAGUGUGGCUAAUACGGGAUAUUCUGGGUCUGUCGCAUGAUGGGUCUGGGAAAGAUAUUGUUUCGGUGGGGGAUGGUCUCGCGGCCUAUCAGCUUGUUGGUGGGGUGAUGGCCUACCAAGGCGGUGACGGGUAGCCGGCCUGAGAGGGUGGUCGGUCGCACUGGGAGUGAGACACGGACCAGACUCCUAAGGGAGGCAGCAGUGGGGAAUAGUGGACAGUGGGCGCAAGCCUGAUGCAGCGACGCCGCGUGAGGGAUGGAGGCCUGCGGGUUGUGAACCUCUUUCGCCAGUGAAGCAGGCCUGCCUCGUUUGUGGGUGGGUUGACGGUAGCUGGAUAAGAAGCGCCGGCUAACUACGUG